rnacentral:rRNA from 1 species
GGUAUAACUCCGGUAAACCGGGGCUAAUACCGGAUAUGAAAUCUGCGGGCAUCCGCGGACUUGGAAAGUUUUUCGGUUGAAGAUGAUCUCGCGGCCUAUCAGCUUGUUGGUGAGGUAAUGGCUCACCAAGGCGACGACGGGUAGCCGGCCUGAGAGGGCGACCGG